GCAGGACGAGCGUCGAGGAGGCGCGCCGCUGGAAAGAAGGCGCCCAUGAAGCCGGCGCCCCGUACGGCGACGACGACGACGUAGCAGCUCCGCCUGCACUGCGUCGGCCCAUCUCGGCAACACCUCUCCACGGCGCCACCACUGACCUCCGCGAGCCGUCCGAUUUGAAGUGCAUCAAGUUUAUUCAGCUGCUUUCAGAUUUGAAGUACGUCAAGUUUAGUCAGCCCCCGGGCACCGAUGACCAUUCUGCUGUUGUUUGGCCUCAAGUAUAACAUGAAGUCAGUCAAGGGCUGCGAGAGGCUUUACUCUUGAGGAGCUGAAGAUAUUUCAAUGUGAUUGGAUCUGACCUUGAGGGAAGAUUACGUGAAGCUCCCAAGCCAGAACUACGAGAGCAUGCUUGGAUAUCUGGGGCAAGACAGUGCAGUAUUAGGAGUCAUUACAUUGUUAAAGGUGUCUUUUUCUUGUACUAUGUCUGUAGCAUUAUCUUUGAAAAAGACCAUAAUUCAGUCUACUACUGCAUUCCAAGCUGUGCAUGUUGUGCCAAAUGUAUUAGCCCUUCAUUGCAGAAGCGUACUGUAAGAUGGAACUGAGAUAUAUGCU